UACGUAGGGGGCAAGCGUUGUCCGGAAUUAUUGGGCGUAAAGCGCGUGUAGGCGGUCCGGUAAGUCCGCUGUGAAAGUCGGGGGCUCAACCCUCGGAUGCCGGUGGAUACUGUCGGGCUUGAGUACGGAAGAGGCGAGUGGAAUUCCUGGUGUAGCGGUGAAAUGCGCAGAUAUCAGGAGGAACACCGAUUGCGAAGGCAGACUCGCUGGGACGUUACUGACGCUGAGACGCGAAGCGUGGGGAGCAAACAGG
rnacentral:rRNA from 1 species